UCUUUUGGUAGGCUUAAUUCCUCGAUAAUUACUUUGUUGUCCAAGAAGGAGUGUUCGCUGCAAGUGGCUGAUUUCAGGCCGAUUAACUUAAUCCAUGGAGCUGCAAAAAUCUUUGCUAAAGUUCUAGCCAUACAUCUUGCCCCUUUACUGUCAGCCCUUAUCUCGCAAGUUCAGAGUGCUUUCAUCAGCCACAGAAGUAUUCAUGAGAACUUCAAAUUCGUUCGCAAUGCUGCUAGAAUUCUGCAUCGGAAGAAAUCGCCUGCAGUUCUUAUGAAGAUUGAUAUUUCCAAAGCCUUUGAUACCUUGUCCUGGGAGUUCAUCAUUCAGAUAUUGAUAAGGAGAGGCUUUGGUCGGCGUUGGUGCUCUUGGGUUUGUGGCCUUUUGCACACUACGUCGUCUUCUGUGUUGGUCAACGGUGAGACUUGUGAGCCAUUCUCACUUGACCAAGGUGUGAGACAGGGGGACCCGCUGUCCCCGGCGCUCUUCAUUCUUGCCAUGGACACUUUGCAAGCGAUGCUGCAUUGGGCAGACCAUAACAACCUGUUAUCGGACUUAGGUCUCACCCCCAACGUUCCGAGGGCUUCCUUCUUUGCCGAUGAUGGAGUUCUAUUUUUCAAACCUUACUCGACAGAUAUGGGGGUGAUCUCAGCCAUCCUAAAGCUGUUUGGAGAAGUGUUUGGUCUUCACAUCAAUCUGCAAAAGAGCACUAUCACGUGUAUCAGGGGUGACGACUCCAUUUCUGCUAGUGUGGCUUGA
rnacentral:rRNA from 1 species